rnacentral:rRNA from 1 species
UUAGAGUUUGAUCCUGGCUCAGGAUGAACGCUAGCGGCAGGCUUAACACAUGCAAGUCGAGGGGCAGCGAGAUCAGUGCUUGCACUGAUUGUCGGCGACCGGCGCACGGGUGCGUAACGCGUAUGCAACCUACCCAUUACAGGGGGAUAACACUGAGAAAUCGGUACUAAUACCCCAUAACAUCCAGGGAGGCAUCUUCUUGGGUUGAAAACUCCGGUGGUAAUGGAUGGGCAUGCGUUGUAUUAGUUAGUUGGUGGGGUAACGGCUCACCAAGACAACGAUACAUAGGGGGACUGAGAGGUUAACCCCCCACAUUGGUACUGAGACACGGACCAAACUCCUACGGGAGGCAGCAGUGAGGAAUAUUGGUCAAUGGACGCAAGUCUGAACCAGCCAUGCCGCGUGCAGGAAGACGGCUCUAUGAGUUGUAAACUGCUUUUGUACGAGGGUAAACGCAGAUACGCGUAUCUGUCUGAAAGUAUCGUACGAAUAAGGAUCGGCUAACUCCGUGCCAGCAGCCGCGGUAAUACGGAGGAUUCAAGCGUUAUCCGGAUUUAUUGGGUUUAAAGGGUGCGUAGGCGGUCGGAUAAGUUAGAGGUGAAAUCCCGGGGCUCAACUUCGGAAUUGCCUCUGAUACUGUUCGGCUAGAGAGUAGUUGCGGUAGGCGGAAUGUAUGGUAUAGCGGUGAAAUGCUUAGAGAUCAUACAGAACACCGAUUGCGAAGGCAGCUUACCAAGCUACUUCUGACGUUGAGGCACGAAAGCGUGGGGAGCAAACAGGAUUAGAUACCCUGGUAGUCCACGCAGUAAACGAUGAUAACUCGUUGUCGGCGAUACAGUGUCGGUGACUAAGCGAAAGCGAUAAGUUAUCCACCUGGGGAGUACGUUCGCAAGAAUGAAACUCAAAGGAAUUGACGGGGGCCCGCACAAGCGGAGGAACAUGUGGUUUAAUUCGAUGAUACGCGAGGAACCUUACCCGGGCUUGAAAGUUAGUGACGGAUCUUGAAAGAGGUCUUCCCUUCGGGGCACGAAACUAGGUGCUGCAUGGUUGUCGUCAGCUCGUGCCGUGAGGUGUCGGGUUAAGUCCCAUAACGAGCGCAACCCCUACCGUUAGUUGCCAGCAGGUCAAGCUGGGCACUCUGACGGGACUGCCGGUGUAAGCCGAGAGGAAGGUGGGGAUGACGUCAAAUCAGCACGGCCCUUACGUCCGGGGCUACACACGUGUUACAAUGGCAGGUACAGAGGGCAGCUACCCAGCGAUGGGAUGCGAAUCUCGAAAGCCUGUCUCAGUUCGGAUUGGAGGCUGAAACCCGCCUCCAUGAAGUUGGAUUCGCUAGUAAUCGCGCAUCAGCCAUGGCGCGGUGAAUACGUUCCCGGGCCUUGCACACACCGCCCGUCAAG